AACGAACGCUGGCGGCAUGCCUAACACAUGCAAGUCGAACGAGACCUUCGGGUCUAGUGGCGCACGGGUGCGUAACGCGUGGGAACCUGCCCUUAGGUUCGGAAUAACUCCCCGAAAGGGGUGCUAAUACCGGAUAAUGUCUUCGGACCAAAGAUUUAUCGCCUUUGGAUGGGCCCGCGUUGGAUUAGCUAGUUGGUAGGGUAAAAGCCUACCAAGGCGACGAUCCAUAACUGGUCUGAGAGGAUGAUCAGCCACACUGGGACUGAGACACGGCCCAGACUCCUACGGGAGGCAGCAGUGGGGAAUAUUGGACAAUGGGCGAAAGCCUGAUCCAGCAAUGCCGCGUGAGUGAUGAAGGCCUUAGAGUUGUAAAGCUCUUUUACCCGGGAUGAUAAUGACAGUACCGGGAGAAUAAGCUCCGGCUAACUCCGUG
rnacentral:rRNA from 1 species